GGUCGCUUCUCGCAGGCGGCGCGCUUGCUGGGUCACAGUGAGGCGGCUCCGCGCAGGCGCAGCCGGGCGGGCGAGGAGCGGGGAAGCUGACUCAGGGCUGCGGCCGGGGUCCUGCGGGGUAGGAGCGCGAGGCCGGCCUGAGGGAGGAGGCCUAGCGACCCAUCCGGCGCCUCCCGCCCCGGGCACCCGCCCGCGGCCGCGCAUCCUGCGGGCCCCAGGAGGCCUCCAUCUCAAAACAACGUGUUUUUAGAGAACUCAAGGGCUGUGAAAAGAGCAGGACCUCACCAGCUGCACGGCGGUGGUGACUGGCUCCAUCUUGCUGUCCCUCCCAAUCACACAACAUCUCCCCUUGAAGGCUCUGCCCAGGCCCGGACUCCCACCUUUCAAGAUGUCUGGAUCAGUGCAGGACCUCCUCCUUGGCCACAUCGCUCUCCUUGGACUGGUUCAAGUGAUUCUCCCACCUCAGCCUCCCAAGUAGGAUUACAGGUACACACCACCACGCACAGCUAAUUGUUUUGUAUUUUAGGAAGAGAUGGGGUUUCAUCAUGUUAGCCAGGCUGGUCAGGUGAUCCAUCCGCCUUGGCCUCCCCAAGUGCUGGGAUUACAGGCGUGAGGCACUGUGCCCGGCCUGCCCCCCUUUUCUCUUGAUGCACAUGACAGCCUUCUUGCAAUCAAGAAACUACGUGUGGCCAGGAUCUCAUCCACUAUCACAGUUUCAGCUUUCCCCAAACUGGAAUGUGUCUUUGCAGACGCCCAUCCUUAUUAAAGGGCAAAGACUUCUCAUACACCUAGGAUGGAUCUUAUAUUCUUGGCGGGACUGCAGAGAAGGUGCCGUGUCCUGAGUCCUCAUGUCAGGGCACAGGCUUCCAGCCAGUUCUACCUGGGUUAUGUUUAUCUCAAUUCCCUGGUGGUAUUGGUGUCUGCUGGGUUUUGCCAGAAUGAAGACACCGUGUUUUCAUUUGUCAGUUGAUUCGUAUUUUCCAGGAAGACAUUCUGAGAUUACAGCAUUGUCUUAGUCAAGGUGCUGCAGAAGGACAGAACUAAUAGGAUAUAUGUACAUAUGAAAGAAAGUUUAUGAAGAACUGGCUCACACCAUCACAAGGCAAAGUCCCAUGACAGGCCAUCUGCAAGCUGAGGAGCGAGGAAGCCAGCAGUGGCUCAGCCGGAGUCCAACAGCCUCAAACGGAAUCCAACAGUUCAGGCUUCAGUCUGUGGCCAAAUGCCCAGAGACCCCGGAAAGCUACUGGUGUUAGUCCCAGAGCCGGAAGGCCAAAGAACCUGGAGUGUGAUGUCCAAGGGCAGGAGGAAUGGACAGAAGCAUCCAGCAUGGGGUAAAGACGAAAGCCAGAAGACUCAGCAAGCUAGCUUACCUACUUUCUUCUGCCUGCCUUGUUCUAGCCGCGCUGGCAGCCGGUUGGAGGGUGCCCACCCCCACUGAGGGUGGAUCUUCCUCUCCUAGUCCACUGACUCAAAUUUCAGUCUCUCUGGGAGCACCAUCACACCAGAAACAAUACCAGCCAUCUAGCCACCCUUCAGUUCACCAUCACAACCAUUGUCUUAUUCAUGAAACUUCUGCAGACCCACCUUAACCUCCAUCGGUGACUUCUACCUGAAGCCCUCUGAUUGUUGCCCAGUGGUGCUUUUUAAAAUAAUUUCCAUAGUUUCUUCUACACCUUUAGUUGGCAUUCUACUGUAAAGGAGAGAUUUUAUUUUCUUACUCAUUUAUUUGUUAGUUUAUAGUCACCACCAUAUGGAUGCAGAGUUCUGUCUCAUUCACUGGGAAGUAUUCUAUUGCAGUCAUGAUUUAUUUUGAUGUUCACAUCCCAGAGUUGGUGAGUGAGCGCCCCUUCACGCUGGCUCCCGAGUGCUGACGUGUCCCCGUCCUUCUCUGCACUUUUCCUUACCUCCUGGCCUCAGAUAUUCCAGGGUCAUUUGUUCUCUCCCUGCUCCAACCCUGCAGUCAGCCAUCUCCCUAGGGACGUUGGUUCCUUUAUGGAAGGUGGCAUUUAGAAGCCAGGAUUUGGGCUGAGCACUGUGGCUCAUGCUUGUAAUCCCAGCACUUGGGGAGGCCGAAGUGGGCGGAUCGCUGGAGGCCAAGAGUCUGAGACCAGCCUGGCUAACAUGGUGAAACCCUUCCCCGUCUCUACUACAAAUAAAAAAUUAGCUGGGUGUGUUGGCACGUGCCUGUAAUCCCAGUUACUCAGGAGGCUGAAGCACCAGAAUCUCUUGAACCCAGGAGGCCGAGGUUGCAGUGAGCCAAGAUUGCACCACUGCACUACAGCUUGGGUGACAGCGCGAGACACCGUCUCAAAAAGGAUAAUAAUUUAAAAAACAGCAGGAUUUGGGUGAGCAGUGCGCUCAUUGCUUCUGGGCUCUCUCGGUGGACAUAGGCUAGGAAUGUAAGAUGUAUGUGCCUGUGUAUAUACACACGUCUGUAGCUAUGUCUAUGUUGCAUACAUGUGUUUUUCCAAAAACCAAAUCCAUAACCAUGCCUUCAGUUUCAGCCCAACACCUCCGGGCUCUUUCUAGCUUUCUACCUUUCAUGAUUGUGAAUACCUUCUCCAGCAGUGAGAAACCUGGCUCCUUUGUCCUCAGUGGAUUUUCUUAUUUGCUCAAUUUUUUUGUUUUUUGUUUUGUUUUUGUUUUUGAGACAGAGUCUUGUUCUGUCACCCAAGCUGGAGUGCAGUGGCAUAAUCUCGGCUUACCGCAACCUCUGCCUCCUGG
rnacentral:lncRNA from 10 species